CGGUCCUAAGGUAGCGAAAUUCCUUGUCGGGUAAGUUCCGACCCGCACGAAAGGCGUAACGAUUUGGGCACUGUCUCAACGAGAGACUCGGUGAAAUCAUAGUACCGGUGAAGAUGCCGGUUACCCGCGACAGGACGGAAAGACCCCGUGGAGCUUUACUGUAGCCUGAUAUUGAAAUUCGGUACAGUUUGUACAGGAUAGGUAGGAGCCUUAGAAGCGUGAGCGCUAGCUUACGUGGAGGCAUUGGUGGGAUACUACCCUAAUUGUAUUGGAUUUCUAACCCGCAGCACUUAUCGUGCUGGGAGACAGUGUCAGGCGGGCAGUUUGACUGGGGCGGUCGCCUCCUAAAGAGUAACGGAGGCGCUCAAAGGUUCCCUCAGAAUGGUUGGAAAUCAUUCAUAGAGUGUAAAGGCAUAAGGGAGCUUGACUGCGAGACCUACAAGUCGAGCAGGGUCGAAAGACGGACUUAGUGAUCCGGUGGUUCCGCAUGGAAGGGCCAUCGCUCAACGGAUAAAAGCUACCCCGGGGAUAACAGGCUUAUCUCCCCCAAGAGUUCACAUCGACGGGGAGGUUUGGCACCUCGAUGUCGGCUCAUCGCAUCCUGGGGCUGUAGUCGGUCCCAAGGGUUGGGCUGUUCGCCCAUUAAAGCGGUACGCGAGCUGGGUUCAGAACGUCGUGAGACAGUUCGGUCCCUAUCCGUCGUGGGCGUAGGAAAUUUGAGAGGAGCUGUCCUUAGUACGAGAGGACCGGGAUGGACAUACCUCUGGUGUACCAGUUGUCGUGCCAACGGCAUAGCUGGGUAGCUAUGUAUGGACGGGAUAAGUGCUGAAAGCAUCUAAGCAUGAAGCCCCCCUCGAGAUGAGAUUUCCCAACUUCGGUUAUAAG
rnacentral:rRNA from 1 species